rnacentral:rRNA from 1 species
CGGGUGAGUAAUGCCUAGGAAUCUGCCUGGUAGUGGGGGAUAACGUUCCGAAAGGAACGCUAAUACCGCAUACGUCCUACGGGAGAAAGCAGGGGACCUUCGGGCCUUGCGCUAUUAGAUGAGCCUAGGUCGGAUUAGCUAGUUGGUGAGGUAAAGGCUCACCAAGGCGACGAUCCGUAACUGGUCUGAGAGGAUGAUCAGUCACACUGGAACUGAGACACGGUCCAGACUCCUACGGGAGGCAGCAGUGGGGAAUAUUGGACAAUGGGCGAAAGCCUGAUCCAGCCAUGCCGCGUGUGUGAAGAAGGUCUUCGGAUUGUAAAGCACUUUAAGUUGGGAGGAAGGGCUGCUGGUUAAUACCCUGCAGUUUUGACGUUACCAACAGAAUAAGCACCGGCUAACUUCGUGCCAGCAGCCGCGGUAAUACGAAGGGGGCAAGCGUUAAUCGGAAUUACUGGGCGUAAAGCGCGCGUAGGUGGUUCGUUAAGUUGGAUGUGAAAGCCCCGGGCUCAACCUGGGAACUGCAUCCAAAACUGGCGAGCUAGAGUACGGUAGAGGGUGGUGGAAUUUCCUGUGUAGCGGUGAAAUGCGUAGAUAUAGGAAGGAACACCAGUGGCGAAGGCGACCACCUGGACUGAUACUGACACUGAGGUGCGAAAAGCGUGGGGAGCAAACAGGAUUAGAUACCCCUGGUAGUCCACGCCGUAAACGAUGUCAAC